UACGAAAGGUGCAAGCGUUACUCGGAAUUACUGGGCGUAAAGCGUGCGUAGGUGGUUUGUUAAGUCUGUUGUGAAAGCCCCGGGCUCAACCUGGGAAUGGCAAUGGAUACUGGCAGGCUAGAGUGCGGUAGAGGGUAGUGGAAUUCCCGGUGUAGCGGUGAAAUGCGUAGAGAUCGGGAGGAACACCAGUGGCGAAGGCGGCUACCUGGACCAGCACUGACACUGAGGCACGAAAGCGUGGGGAGCAAACAGG
rnacentral:rRNA from 1 species